GUGGUGGGUAGUUUGACUGGGGCGGUCUCCUCCUAAAGAGUAGCGGAGGAGCGCAAAGGUACCCUCAAUGCGGUUGGUAAUCGCAUGCAGAGCGCAAAGGUAUAAGGGUGCUUGACUGCGAGACAUAUAGGUCGAGCAGAUACGAAAGUAGGUCUUAGUGAUCCGGUGGUCCCGUGUGGAAGGGCCAUCGCUCAUCAGAUAAAAGGUACUCCGGGGAUAAC
rnacentral:rRNA from 1 species